UCCCGGAUGGCUCAGAUGGUAAAGAACCUGCCUGCCAUGCAGGAGACCCUGGUUCGAUCCCUGGGUUGGGAA
rnacentral:tRNA from 1 species